ACUCAAAUGAAUUGACGGGGGCCCGCACAAGCGGUGGAGCAUGUGGUUUAAUUCGAUGAUACGCGAGGAACCUUACCAGGGCUUAAAUGUAGUGGGACAGGCUUGGAAACAGGCCCUUCUUCGGACUCAUUACAAGGUGCUGCAUGGUUGUCGUCAGCUCGUGCCGUGAGGUGUCAGGUUAAGUCCUAUAACGAGCGCAACCCCUGUUGUUAGUUGCCAGCGAGUAAUGUCGGGAACUCUAACAAGACUGCCGGUGCAAACCGUGAGGAAGGUGGGGAUGACGUCAAAUCAUCACGGCCCUUACGUCCUGGGCUACACACGUGCUACAAUGGCCGGUACAGAGAGCAGCCACUGGGCGACCAGGAGCGAAUCUAUAAAGCCGGUCACAGUUCGGAUUGGAGUCUGCAACCCGACUCCAUGAAGCUGGAAUCGCUAGUAAUCGGAUAUCAGCCAUGAUCCGGUGAAUACGUUCCCGGGCCUUGUACACACCGCCCGU
rnacentral:rRNA from 1 species